AAUAAGAAGUUGGGGUGCCUUGAGCUGAGAUUAUACCCAUUGAACCUGAUAUAGUUCGGACUAUCGCAGGAAACUUAUCUUAAUUUAUG
rnacentral:ncRNA from 2 species